GGCUGGUCAGAGUGCAGCAGGAUUUACAAUUAAUCGAUCACAAUCAGUUACAGAUUUGUUCCUUCUCCACUCCCACUGCUUCACUUGACUAGCCUUAA
rnacentral:Y_RNA from 1 species